AGAACCCAUGCUGAACAGGAAGUGAUCAAAGUCAAUCUGACAACUGACUGACUCUGCAGUCCAAGGAAGGAGAUCUGCCUGAACAUGGAGAAGGCAGAACUCGGAGAUCAUUGAAGAGAUGAGCCAUUGGGAGUCUGAUAUAAGUUAAAUUGUACCAUCAGUGAAGUCUGCUGCUGUCAUCCACAGGAAUUUUCCAUUGUGGUAUUUUAGCCUUGGCUCCUAGACCUGGCCUAAAGUAUCUGGGUUUUUUGUUCUGAAGUGGCUGGUCCUGAUACAUAGUGAAGAAUGCAGAGCCUAUAUCUUGCUCUGGACUCUCUUUAAUCUUGUAAAAUA